rnacentral:rRNA from 1 species
GACAGAGGCCUCGAGCGUUAGGCGGAAUCACUGGGCUUAAAGCGUGUGUAGGCGGGCUCGUAAGUGUCUUGUGAAAUCCCCCGGCUCAACCGGGGAACGGCUGGGCAUACUGCGGGUCUUGGGCCGACUAGGGGCAGCCGGAACAAGCGGUGGAGCGGUGAAAUGCGUAGAUAUCGCUUGGAACGCCGAAGGUGAAAACAGGCUGCUGGGGUCGCGCCGACGCUGAGACACGAAAGCCAGGGGAGCAAACGGG